rnacentral:rRNA from 1 species
UACGGGGGGGGCAAGCGUUGUUCGGAAUUACUGGGCGUAAAGGCUCGUAGGCGGCCAACUAAGUCAGACGUGAAAUCCCUCGGCUUAACCGGGGAACUGCAUCUGAUACUGGAUGGCUUGAGUUCGGGAGAGGGAUGCGGAAUUCCAGGUGUAGCGGUGAAAUGCGUAGAUAUCUGGAGGAACACCGGUGGCGAAGGCGGCAUCCUGGACCGACACUGACGCUGAGGAGCGAAAGCAUGGGGAGCGAACAGG